UACGUAGGGUGCGAGCGUUGUUCGGAUUUACUGGGCGUAAAGGGUGCGUAGGCGGUAGGGUAAGUCUGAUGUGAAAUCUCAGAGCUCAACUCUGAAACUGCAUUGGAUACUAUUCGGCUCGAGGUCUGGAGGGGGGACUGGAAUUCUCGGUGUAGCAGUGAAAUGCGUAGAUAUCGAGAGGAACACCAGUGGCGAAGGCGAGUCCCUGGACAGAUCCUGACGCUGAGGCACGAAAGCUAGGGGAGCAAACAGG
rnacentral:rRNA from 1 species